rnacentral:rRNA from 1 species
AUUGAACGCUGGCGGCAGGCCUAACACAUGCAAGUCGAACGAGUGGCGGACGGGUGAGUAAUGUCUGGGAAACGGCCUGAUGGAGGGGGAUAACUACUGGAAACGGUAGCUAAUACCGCAUACCACCAGAUGAUCCCUGAUGGGAUUAGCUUGUUGGUGGGGUAACGGCUCACCAGGGCGACGGACCCUAGCUGGGCUGAGAGGAGGACCGUCCACCCGGGAACUGCGCCACGGCCCAGACUCCUACGGGAGGAAGCAGUGGGGAAUAUUGCAAAAUGGGCGAAAGCCUGAUGCAUCCAUGCCGCGUGUAUGAAGAAGGCCUUCGGGUUGUAAAGUACUUUCAGCGGGGAGGCGUUACCCGCAGAAGAAGCACCGGCUAACUCCGUGCCAGCAGCCGCGGUAAUAC